CUCCCUCCCUCCCUCCCCCUCCUCGACUCCCCCUCCUGGGCUGAACCUACCGACUCCGCCGUUACUUUCCACCUGAACAACACUGCCUCUGCGACCAGCUGCCCCUCCCUCCUCCUCCCUUCACCCUGGGGGUCCAGCCAUGGUGGGGACCAGGUUAAGACUGUCUGUGUGUGACUGUCUCACCCUGGGGGGUCCAGCCAUGGCGGGGACCAGGGGUGAGGCCGUGUGUGUGUCUGUGUGUGACUCUUUCAGCCUGGGCACGGGUUCAACCAAAACCCUAACUGAAACCGGACCGGUUCCUCGCAGUGGGAAGGUCCUGGGAGCGAGUGGCAGUUGUAGCGGCGUACAGUAGCUGUCCUACUGUGUUUGACCCAACGUUAGUUUUCCGUUGGGCGGACGAUUCCGUAUUGAAUGUACAUUAAUACGGGCCGCGAUAUCUUAGGGUGCAGCACCGCUAUUUGUAAAAUAAAUAUUAAUUUCAGUUGAUAUUAUUUUUAAAAACUCACCACCAGGUGCGAGUGUGAUUAGCCGUCACAAGCCGUUUAAACAAGCCCUGCCCCGUGACUAAGUGACAUCACAACUGGGCGUGUCCCCCCAGAUGCAUGCUGGGUAGAUGAAUCAACCAGCCUACCCAGUGGACUGUAGCAACUGGUAGACGUUUUCAGCACUCGUACCAACAACUGGUGGUAAAAUAGAUUAACAUCUAGGAUCAGGUUGUUCCUGCAUCAGCACUGAUGAGUAUUGAUUGAUCAAUAAACCGUACAGCGGACCUUAGUAUCUAGAAUUGUAGUCUGGGGUAGGACUCAGCGAGCUUUAGCUAUGUUGUGGUGAUUGAUGAACAUUGACACAUAUCUGCUCCAUACAAUUUCUGCAGGAGUGAAGUUUUUUCAGCGAUGAUGAUGAUGAUUGUGUGUGUGUGUGUGUGUGUGUGUGUGUGUGUGUGUGUGUUUCAUUUCUCUUUUGUGUGCAUGAACACGAACCAUCAGUUACUCUAAUCAAACUAGUCAUUCAUUAAUAGAGGAUUAUGUUUAAUCCACACAACCUAUACGGAAUGAUCCUACACUACGUUGCUUUGGAUACUGCUACUGCUGAAUAUCAUUUAAAUAUGUUUGAUUCAUUCAUUUAGAUGCUAUUCAGUGUCGCCUUGUUGAUUUAACAUUACUGUCAAAUGUCCUUGUUCACAGUGAAAUGUUUCUUUGUGUUGAGACGAGGUAAUUGGGCAUUGAAUAGUUUUGAUAUAAGGUUGUGAGAUUGUACGGAGCCAUGACUUAAGCUCAGUCAAGGUAGACCUCUGUUUAAUUUGUAGUGUGGUUACACUUCUCUGCAUAUGAUGUUGUUUUCUAAUCUGUAGCACAUUUUCUUAUCAUUUCAUUUGGUUUUAGCGUUUUUUAUCAAAGAUGAAGUUGUAGCAUUUUGUAUUUCUCUCUCUCUCCUUUCCCUCUCCCUCCCCCCCCCCCCCUCUCUCUCUCUCUCUCUCUCUCUCUCUCUCUCUCUCUCUCUCUCUCUCUCUCUCUCUCUCUCUCUCUCAGUGGUGGUGAUCCACUAGCUGUGGGAUGAGGCAUGGCUCUGCUUUCUGUGAGUGCCUUUCUAAUCAGCGUCGAUGUGUCUCUGUAAUGGUUCAGUCCAUUGGUGUGCCACAACCAGUGCCAAUAAUCAGAGUGACCAAGUCGACACUGAUGUGAAUCACUGCGUUCACGCUCAGUGUGGAUGUGUCAAUCAAUGUGCAUGAGAUACCUUAGAUCAAAAUGGACAGCUGUCAUAUUUACAAUUCAUGUAUUGUACUUGAAAAUGACCAAAAAAUGUACCUGGCCAUGUCGAGGUGUAUAUUAAUUUUUUUUCUCUGUCUGUAACUCUCUCUUUCUUAAAUGUCCGUAAGAUUGUACUUCCUUGCUGUUUGCUGUACAUUGAUAGAAAUAUAUUUGUUAAUACUGGAUUAAAUACUGAAUUUAACAUUCAA